rnacentral:rRNA from 1 species
GACGAACGCUGGCGGCGUGCUUAACACAUGCAAGUCGAACGAAGAGCGACGGAAGCUUGCUUCUAUCACUCUUAGUGGCGCACGGGUGAGUAACGCGUAAUCAACCUGCCCUUCAGAGGGGGACAACAGUUGGAAACGACUGCUAAUACCGCAUACGAUCUAAUCUCGGCAUCGAGGAUGGAUGAAAGGUGGCCUCUACAUGUAAGCUAUCACUGAAGGAGGGGAUUGCGUCUGAUUAGCUAGUUGGGGGGGUAACGGCCCACCCAGGCGAUGAUCAGUAGGCGGUCUGAGAGGAAGGACGGCCACAUUGGGACUGAGAACCGGCCCAGAACCCUAAGGGAGGCAGCAGGGGGGAAUCUUCCGCAAUGGACGAAAGUCUGAAGGAGCAACGCCGCGGGAGUGAUGAAGGCCUUCGGGUUGUAAAGGUCUGUUAAUCGGGACGAAAGGCCUUCUUGCGAAUAGUGAGAAGGAUUGACGGUACCGGAAUAGAAAGCCACGGCUAACUACGUG